rnacentral:rRNA from 1 species
AGAGUUUGAUCCUGGCUCAGGACGAACGCUGGCGGCGCGCUUAACACAUGCAAGUCGAGCGAGAACCAGGCCUUCGGGCUUGGGGAAAGCGGCGAACGGGUGAGUAACACGUGGGCAACCCACCCUUGGUAUCCGGAUAGCCCGAGGAAACUCGGAUUAAUACGGAAUGGCCCAACAGUCUUUCGGGACGGUUGGAAAAGGUAGCUUCGGCCUCCGACCAAGGACGGGCCCGCGGUGGAUUAGCUUGUUGGUGGGGUAAUGGCCUACCAAGGCGACGAUCCAUAGCUGGUCUGAGAGGACGAUCAGCCACACUGGGACUGAGACACGGCCCAGACUCCUACGGGAGGCAGCAGUGGGGAAUCUUGCGCAAUGGGCGAAAGCCUGACGCAGCGACGCCGCGUGGGGGAAGAAGGCUUUCGGGUUGUAAACCCCUUUCAGGAGAGACGAAGCCACUCAGGUUAAUAGCCGAGAGGGUGACGGUACCUCCAGAAGAAGCCCCGGCUAACUACGUGCCAGCAGCCGCGGUAAUACGUAGGGGGCAAGCGUUGUCCGGAUUUAUUGGGCGUAAAGAGCGUGUAGGCGGUUAGGUAGGUCCGUUGUGAAAACUCGAGGCUCAACCCCGAGACGCCGAUGGAAACCCCCUAACUAGAGUCCGGAAGAGGAGAGUGGAAUUCCUGGUGUAGCGGUGAAAUGCGCAGAUAUCAGGAAGAACACCCGUGGCUAAGGCGGCUCUCUAGUACGGUACUGACGCUGAGACGCGAAAGCGUGGGGAGCGAACAGGAUUAGAUACCCUGGUAGUCC